AUACGGAAGGUCCGGGCGUUAUCCGGAUUUAUUGGGUUUAAAGGGAGCGCAGGCGGAGAUGCAAGCGUGACGUCAAAUUUCGGGGCUCAACCCCGUCUCGCGUCGCGAACUGCGUCCCUUGGUUGCGGGAAGGGGAGGCGGAACUCGGGGUGUAGCGGUGGAAUGCAUAGAUAUCACGAAGAACUCCGAUCGCGAAGGCAGCCUUCCGGCCCGUCAACGACGCUCAUGCUCGAAGGUGCGGGUAUCAAACAGGAUUAGAUACCCUGGUAGUCCGCACAGUAAACGAUGGACACCCGCGGUUUGGCCUAUAUGGCUGAGCCGCCAAGCGAAAGCGUUAAGUGUCCCACCUGGGGAGUACGCCGGCAACGGUGAAACUCAAAGGAAUUGACGGGG
rnacentral:rRNA from 1 species